GCCUGGGUGGCUGAGUCGGUUAAGCAUCCGACCUCAGAUCAGGUCAUGAUCUCACAGCUCGUGGGUUCAAGCCCUGCGUCAGGCU
rnacentral:tRNA from 1 species